UACGUAGGGUGCAAGCGUUAUCCGGAAUUAUUGGGCGUAAAGAGCUCGUAGGCGGUUUGUCGCGUCUGCCGUGAAAGUCGGGCUCAACUCCGGAUCUGCGGUGGGUACGGGCAGACUAGAGUGAUGUAGGGGAGACUGGAAUUCUGGUGUAGCGGUGAAAUGCGCAGAUAUCAGGAGGAACACCGAUGGCGAAGGCAGGUCUCUGGGCAUUAACUGACGCUGAGGAGCGAAAGCAUGGGGAGCGAACAGG
rnacentral:rRNA from 1 species